AGCAGCCGCGGUAAUUCCAGCUCCAAUAGCGUAUAUUAAAGUUGUUGCAGUUAAAAAGCUCGUAGUUGAAUUUCGGGGUUAGUAGGUUGGUCAUGCCUCUGGUAUGUACUGGUCUCACUGAUUCCUCCUUCCUUAUGAACCGUAAUGCCAUUAAUUUGGUGUUGCGAGGAAUGUGGACUGUUACUUUGAAAAAAUUAGAGUGUUUAAAGCAAGCUAACGCUUGAAUACAUUAGCAUGGAAUAAUGAAAUAGGACGUUCGAUCUUAUUUUGUUGGUUUCUAGGAUUGACGUAAUGAUUAAUAGGGAUAGUUGGGGGCAUUAGUAUUCAAUUGUCAGAGGUGAAAUUCUUGGAUUUAUUGAAGACUAACUACUGCGAAAGCAUUUGCCAAGGAUGUUUUCAUUAAUCAAGAACGAAAGUUAGGGAUCGAAGACGAUCAGAUACCGUCGUAGUCUUAACCAUAAACUAUGACCGACUAGGGAUCGGAUGAUGUUAAUUUUUAAUGUACUUCAUUCGGCGCCGU
rnacentral:rRNA from 1 species